GACGGAGGAUGCAAGUGUUAUCCGGAAUCACUGGGCGUAAAGCGUCUGUAGGUGGUCAAAUAAGUCAACUGUUAAAUCUUGAGGCUCAACCUCAAAAAUCGCAGUCGAAACUAUUAGACUAGAGUAUAGUAGGGGUAAAGGGAAUUUCCAGUGGAGCGGUGAAAUGCGUAGAGAUUGGAAAGAACACCAAUGGCGAAAGCACUCUGCUGGGCCGACACUGACACUGAGAGACGAAAGCUAGGGGAGCGAAUGGG
rnacentral:rRNA from 1 species